UGAAACGCAUUUGAAAUUGCUCCAGCAGCUCUUUUGUUCAGUUAUGUAAUGUUUUUAGUUCUCCAAGUCACUGCCUUGAUUACAUCCGAUAAUUUGCAACUUGAAUGAUAACGCUGCUUGACACUUCCAUCUUUUACUCUGUCAACAUAUUUGUGAGGUCUCAAAUAUUCUCAGUGGUCGAAGUGAAGAGGAGCAAGCAGUUAAAGGGACAGCGAUAGGAAGAUCCCAGAAAGAUGGCUGCACUGAGCUCCAGGUGGACAAGUUGACAAAAGCAGAACAUUGGAUGGUUCCCAUUUCCCGAUGGCAGAUUUAUCUACAAGAUUUAAUUGAUGUCAGCUAGAAGACACUUUAGAAGAUGUGAAUUCUCAGGCUGGAGCAAAAGCAAGCUGCCCAGAACAAUUAAAUGCUGGGUUAAGGAGGAAGAGAGGACUGGUAUCUACAAAAGCAGCAUUUCCAGAGGCUAUUUUUUAACUAUUUUCAGCUGUGUUUCUAAUUGAAUUUUCUGGCUGAAAUAUACCUGAAAACCAGGUCCACAAAACAUAUGCCAUGGAGAGGUGCCUAGGGUCCUCUCAAAAGCCUUGCCCAACUGCUUUCUUUGUCCCAUUUCUGUUUUUGCAUCAUAUUCUCCAAUUUAGUUCAGGGAAUGAUCUCCCUGUCCUCCUACAAAUCCUCAUGGACUACUUUUGUUAACCCUUUCCAUAUUAGCUCCUUCCCAACACCUCAAGCACUGGACAGGAGAAGAAUAGACUAGGAUGAAUAAAAUCAUUAGCUGAAAGUUUACCUCUGCCUCUCAUGCAUGUAU